CCUACGGGGGGCUGCAGUGGGGAAUAUUGGACAAUGGGGGCAACCCUGAUCCAGCCAUGCCGCGUGUGUGAAGAAGGCCCUCGGGUUGUAAAGCACUUUCAGUGAGGAAGAACGCCUGGUGGUUAAUACCCAUCAGGAAAGACAUCACUCACAGAAGAAGCACCGGCUAACUCCGUGCCAGCAGCCGCGGUAAUACGGAGGGUGCGAGCGUUAAUCGGAAUUACUGGGCGUAAAGCGCGCGUAGGUGGCUUGAUAAGCCGGUUGUGAAAGCCCCGGGCUCAACCUGGGAACGGCAUCCGGAACUGUCAAGCUAGAGUGCAGGAGAGGAAGGUAGAAUUCCCGGUGUAGCGGUGGAAUGCGUAGAGAUCGGGAGGAAUACCAGUGGCGAAGGCGGCCUUCUGGACUGACACUGACACUGAGGUGCGAAAGCGUGGGUAGCAAACAGGAUUAGAUACCCCAGUAGUC
rnacentral:rRNA from 1 species